GAUGAAGAACGUAGCGAAAUGCGAUAAGUAAUGUGAAUUGCAGAAUUCAGUGAAUCAUCGAAUCUUUGAACGCACAUUGCGCCCGUCAGUAUUCUGGCGGGCAUGCCUGUUCGAGCGUCAUUACGCCCCUCAAGUCCCCUGUGGACUUGGUGUUGGGGAUCGGCGAGGCUGGUUUUCCAGCACAGCCGUCCCUUAAAUUAAUUGGCGGUCUCGCCGUGGCCCUCCUCUGCGCAGUAGUAAAACACUCGCAACAGGAGCCCGGCGCGGUCCACUGCCGUAAAACCCCCCCACUUUUUAUAGUUGACCUCGAAUCAGGUAGGACUACCCGCUGAACUUAAGCAUAUCAAUAAGCGGAGGA
rnacentral:misc_RNA from 1 species